rnacentral:tmRNA from 2 species
GGGGUCGUUUUGGAUUCGCCGUGGUGAUGGAAGGUUUAUAAGCAUGUAGUGGUAGGCCACUUUAAAAAUGUCGAGGUUUCAAUAACCGCAAACAAUACACAUUUAUUCGCACGCUCCAACAAUAUGAGUGCUGCAUUUGCUUGCUAAGAUAAUUCAAGCAGCUGACUUGUUUUGUUUCCUAUAGCAAUUCAACUUCAGCCUUAUUUCAUAUAGGAUUUAUUUGUACGAUGCUAUUCUAAUCGUAUGAGUGAACAUAAACAGAAUGUAGUUGGUUUUGGCUUGUUUGUUCGCUUUGAACCAAUGAAAAACCAGAAUAAACUAAACAUGUAGAAAGUAAACUGAAAAUUGCUGCGUACGGGAGUUCGAGUCUCCCCGGCUCCACCA